GCCUUAAACGAGACCUUCGAAAACCGAAGUGGAGAAGGGUUCCGUGCCAACGGCGGUCGAGCACGGGUCAGUCGGUCCUAAGAAGCGGGUGAAAGCUUCCACGAAAGGCGCCGGGUCCGUCGAAGAACGAAAACGGUUGUAAUAAUAUAAUAGCAGCAACAG